rnacentral:rRNA from 1 species
CUGUUUGAUCCUGGCUCAGGACGAACGCUGGCGGCGUGCUUAACACAUGCAAGUCGAACGGAAAGGCCCUGCUUUUGUGGGGUGCUCGAGUGGCGAACGGGUGAGUAACACGUGAGUAACCUGCCCUUGACUUUGGGAUAACUUCAGGAAACUGGGGCUAAUACCGGAUAGGAGCUCCUGCUGCAUGGUGGGGGUUGGAAAGUUUCGGCGGUUGGGGAUGGACUCGCGGCUUAUCAGCUUGUUGGUGGGGUAGUGGCUUACCAAGGCUUUGACGGGUAGCCGGCCUGAGAGGGUGACCGGCCACAUUGGGACUGAGAUACGGCCCAGACUCCUACGGGAGGCAGCAGUGGGAAUAUUGCACAAUGGGCGGAAGCCUGAUGCAGCAACGCCGCGUGCGGGAUGACGGCCUUCGGGUUGUAAACCGCUUUCGCCUGUGACGAAGCGUGAGUGACGGUAAUGGGUAAAGAAGCACCGGCUAACUACGUGCCAGCAGCCGCGGUGAUACGUAGGGUGCGAGCGUUGUCCGGAUUUAUUGGGCGUAAAGGGCUCGUAGGUGGUUGAUCGCGUCGGAAGUGUAAUCUUGGGGCUUAACCCUGAGCGUGCUUUCGAUACGGGUUGACUUGAGGAAGGUAGGGGAGAAUGGAAUUCCUGGUGGAGCGGUGGAAUGCGCAGAUAUCAGGAGGAACACCAGUGGCGAAGGCGGUUCUCUGGGCCUUUCCUGACGCUGAGGAGCGAAAGCGUGGGGAGCGAACAGGCUUAGAUACCCUGGUAGUCCACGCUGUAAACGGUGGGUACUAGGUGUGGGGUCCAUUCCACGGGUUCCGUGCCGUAGCUAACGCUUUAAGUACCCCGCCUGGGGAGUACGGCCGCAAGGCUAAAACUCAAAGGAAUUGACGGGGCCCCGCACAAGCGGCGGAGCAUGCGGAUUAAUUCGAUGCAACGCGAAGAGAUCGGAAGAGCGUCGUGUAGGGAAAGAGUGUAGAUCUCGGUG